GAUGAACGCUGGCGGCGUGCCUAAUACAUGCAAGUCGAGCGAACAGACGAGGAGCUUGCUCCUCUGACGUUAGCGGCGGACGGGUGAGUAACACGUGGAUAACCUACCUAUAAGACUGGGAUAACUUCGGGAAACCGGAGCUAAUACCGGAUAAUAUACUGAACCGCAUGGUUCAAUAGUGAAAGACGGUUUUGCUGUCACUUAUAGAUGGAUCCGCGCCGCAUUAGCUAGUUGGUAAGGUAACGGCUUACCAAGGCGACGAUGCGUAGCCGACCUGAGAGGGUGAUCGGCCACACUGGAACUGAGACACGGUCCAGACUCCUACGGGAGGCAGCAGUAGGGAAUCUUCCGCAAUGGGCGAAAGCUUGACGGAGCAACGCCGCGUGAGUGAUGAAGGUCUUCGGAUCGUAAAACUCUGUUAUUAGGGAAGAACAAAUGUGUAAGUAACUAUGCACGUCUUGACGGUACCUAAUCAGAAAGCCACGGCUAACUACGUG
rnacentral:rRNA from 1 species